UCACGAAAUAGUUUGAGCUAAACAUUUUGUAAUUUUAGUUGCUAGUAAUUGGUGUUGCAUAACCAAUUUUGGAAGUUUUGUUUAGGGGUGAUAGGCCAAUCAAAAACUAGGAUAUCUUGAACCUUAUUAAAGGUAUGUAGUACAUAUAAUACAUUUACUAAGUGAUUAGGCUUGGUAACAUUAUUAAUUUAUAUAAUUAUUUAUAUUAUGAUAUAAAAACCAAAUGUAAGCGCAAGUUAAUAUACUGCUAUAAUAGUUUAUAAGGAGUAAUUUGGUGCAGCCAAGCUUGAUUGCCUGUUAAUAAUGUUGAUAUUAGUACACAUAAUAUAUUUAUUUAAUGAACUCGGCAAUUAUGCUUCUCGGCUGUUUAUCAAAAACAUAACUGCGUGUAUUUAUACGUAGCGGUUUCUGCUCAAUGAUUAAUUAAAUAGCCGCAGUAUUCUGACUGUGCAAAGGUAGCAUAAUCAAUUGGCUUAUAAUUGAAGUCUGGAAUGAAGGAAAGUAUGGGGAGCCACUGUAUCAUGUAAAUAUGCGGAACUUAUUUAUAAAGUGAAAAUCCUUUAAUUAACUUAAAAGACGAGAAGACCCUAGAAAUUUUUAGUAACUUGAGAUAUUAUCGUAGCAUUUUUUUGUUGGGGCGACAUGAGUAGCAUCAAACCUACUUUUAAUUACUAGCAACUUUUUUGGCGCUAGAAGAAAUUACUCUAGGGAUAACAGCAUAAUAUUUAAAAGUUUAUGACCUCGAUGUUGGACUAGGAAGUGAUAACUUAAAAGGUUCUUUAUAGUGCUCUGUUCGAGCAUAUAUUCCUACAUGUAUC
rnacentral:rRNA from 1 species